rnacentral:lncRNA from 1 species
UUUAACCUCAACCACUGAGUUUCCUGUUUGUACUUCCACUGAUGUUGCCACCGACUCUAGAUCCCCAUCACCCACAUCUUCAGUUUGACGUCUGGCCUAAAACUUCUGAAUGCUGACUGAAUGACAACUGCAGCUUUGUUUUCGGAGGGUAAUUUAGUCUUUUCACCAUCAAUCUCUAGAGUCUCACUUGAGUUUUGAUCAGAAAUAGGUUGUGUGACCGUAGUUUCUGAACCACCCUUGACAGACGUCGAAUCGUCAUCAAUUCUUGAACUAAAAACAGUAGCUUUCGACGU